UUAAAUUGAAGAGUUUGAUCAUGGCUCAGAUUGAACGCUGGCGGCAGGCCUAACACAUGCAAGUCGAACGGUAACAGGAAGCAGCUUGCUGCUUCGCUGACGAGUGGCGGACGGGUGAGUAAUGUCUGGGAAACUGCCUGAUGGAGGGGGAUAACUACUGGAAACGGUAGCUAAUACCGCAUAACGUCGCAAGACCAAAGAGGGGGACCUUCGGGCCUCUUGCCAUCGGAUGUGCCCAGAUGGGAUUAGCUAGUAGGUGGGGUAACGGCUCACCUAGGCGACGAUCCCUAGCUGGUCUGAGAGGAUGACCAGCCACACUGGAACUGAGAC
rnacentral:rRNA from 1 species